GACGAACGCUGGCGGCGUGCUUAACACAUGCAAGUCGAACGGAAAGGCCCUGCUUUUGUGGGGUGCUCGAGUGGCGAACGGGUGAGUAACACGUGAGUAACCUGCCCUUGACUUUGGGAUAACUUCAGGAAACUGGGGCUAAUACCGGAUAGGAGCUCCUGCUGCAUGGUGGGGGUUGGAAAGUUUCGGCGGUUGGGGAUGGACUCGCGGCUUAUCAGCUUGUUGGUGGGGUAGUGGCUUACCAAGGCUUUGACGGGUAGCCGGCCUGAGAGGGUGGCCGGCCACAUUGGGACUGAGGUACGGCCCAGACUCCUACGGGAGGCAGCAGUGGGGAAUAUUGCACAAUGGGCGGAAGCCUGAUGCAGCAACGCCGCGUGCGGGAUGACGGCCUUCGGGUUGUAAACCGCUUUCGCCUGUGACGAAGCGUGAGUGACGGUAAUGGGUAAAGAAGCACCGGCUAACUACGUG
rnacentral:rRNA from 1 species